rnacentral:lncRNA from 1 species
AAUUAAUGGGGUCUCAACUCUUAAGAAGCUUAUCUCAAGUUUCAGGCAUAUUAUGCAUCAAAAGUCUCCCAGGCACAGCACUCACUACCCUCUGGGGUAGAACAUUUCAGCACUGAACAGAAUAUCAUAAUCUUAAAUAAGCUCAAUCUCAGAAAAGUUUUAAGGGAACACAUAUCUGGACUGUAUGCUCCUCAUAAGGAGGUAUCCCUUCAUUAUAUUUUAGUCUUUUCUGAACUCAGCUAUUCUAGAUCAAUGCCAGUGAACAUGGCAUAAAGAACACAAACUCUUCUUCAACUUGCUCAACCUUUUCUUCCUCUAAUGUCUUAUAAACAAAAAUACAAGAAUUUAAUGUAUAUACAGAGCAGAAAAUACUCUCUGUUUCUUUUCAGAUAUUUUCUUCUUAUAUAAACAGUGGUGAUAGAAUUAGAAGUACCAUUGUUCUGCCUCCAUGUUAAUACUCUUAUUAUCUUGCAUAAACAGAAGUGAAUGAAUACGUGCAUGACACCAAUCAAUCCCUUUUUAAAAAAUGCAGUUUUCAUCUUUCUAAAUAGCGGAGGAAGAACUAAUGAAUUCAACAUGUAGUUUACCUGUUUGUAUUUCUGAAUGUUAAUAAAGUAAAAGCAAAUUAUUGCCCAAGUUCUGUUCAAACUUACAUCAGCCAUUAACACUCUCCAUGCCAGCAUGGGGUGGGGAAAGGUGGCACUAAUGACUCCUAGUCCCUGAAGUCAGUUGGCAAGGGGCUUGGCAGGCUGGAGAGGAUGUCAGGCUGCCAGGGCAGGAGAUUUUGACUUGGUGGGUAGGUAGGAGAUAUUCUCUGGCAGUGAAAGAAAUAUUUUGUUGCAGGGCACAUUGCUAGGGAGAGGUCAUCUGGGGGCAUUAGAUGAGAGGAAUAUCAAAAACAAACAUAAAAAUGCUCUGAGGGCAAGGAAAAAGGGAAAUCACUAUUUUUCCAUCUCCUCAUUAGUUUCCCUUCUUCCUUAGAACAAUUUUAGGGACCAGUGAGAAAAAAAAAAAAAAUAGAGAAGACUUACGAUAAUAUACUGUACAUUUAUAUAUACACAGAAACAAACACACAGCCUAUAUUUGAUUGACCAAGAACUAGAAACUGGGACUUUUGAGAUUUAAAAAAUUCAUGGUAUGUCUGGUCAUAUUAAUCUCCAGACCAGCUGGUUUUUAGCAUCACUGGAAAGCGUUAUAAGAGAAUCAUGAGCACUAACAAAAUGGGGAAAAUGAAAUUUUAUAACGAUUUAUAUUUGUAAGGAGACGGGGACUUUAGAGUUGUCUGUUGAAAUUCCCCCCAAAUUAUUUUGGAACUUAUAUAUGACAAUACCAAGAGAAGGAGCUUAGGAAUUCUCAUUGGGCUUAAGAAACUACUAAACCCUGUAUAUUAUGUUCAUCACAGUCACUCAAGCAAAUAAAGGAUAACUAGAGCAUGGUAUCUCACAGUGAAUAACAUGGUUGGUUACUUUUCCGCUCUGACAUAUGGAGGCAGGGCCCCCAGGAGCGGGGGUCUCCUUAUGAAUACUAUAGAGGGAAACUCAGGCUCAUCAAAAUGCAUAGAAAAUGAAGGAUUAGUGGUACAGUGUCACCCAUGAGGUGCCUAAAUGUAUUCUCUAACCAAGCACUAGCAUUUUAAGCCUUGCAUUCUUAGAAAAAGAAUGCAAUACAAAGCUUAUGGGUAUACUUUAUUUGGUCACUGAGUGGGGGAAGGUGCUGAGACAUAUGACAACAUUCAAUGACUAAGACAGGAGGAUGCAAGAAGAAAGAGGAAACACAGAAAGGGAGAGUGAGUGCCAAAAGAAGGGUGCCAGCUCUGGAGACUCUCUGACAGAAUAAAGAGAUAAUCUCAAAAUAAGGGAACUAAAAGAGCAUGCUUUGAGGGAAACAUCAGUAUACUUGUGGAACUUGAGGCCAAAAGGAAAAAUAUGAGCCUCUUGUCAGUCUUCAUCAACAUCCCAUGGGAGAUUCCUCUAUCUUCUACUUUUACAUACACGAGUACAUUUUUUCCCCCUAAGGAUUAGCCUUCUCUGAUAAUGGUGGUAUAAUUGGGAAUGAAACUCUCACCUCCAAGCCAUGUUUUUGAGUCCAAUCCAUGCCCUUCAAAGUGUUCAGUCUACUUUCUGUGGUUUCUCUGGGACCAAUGGCAAAAGGUAUGGGUGGAGCAGGCUUCCUUCUUGAUAUAUACAUGGCUCUAGAAAAUAAGUGCUUUAACCUUCUUACCAGGACUUUUUGAUUUUCAUAUUUUCCUCUUUUCUCACACUAUACUAUCAAUCUCCAAUUUUUUCUCUACCAGCCUUGGCUCUCAUGGUUGUUAAAUUUAAAGACAUUCAUCAUCAGUUUCCUCAUCUAUAGCCCUCAACUGUACCUUGCAAGUUCUUGAGGCCAGAUGAACCUAUACGUGUAUGUUCUUUUUAGCUCCCAGGCUGCUGAGCAGUGAUGAGGAAAAAUUACAAAACUGUAUAGCUUUGUGCCCCUCCAGAAUCCUGGUAUCCAACUUGAGCUGGAGUUUCAGAACUACUUUACAAUUCCUCUAUUUUCUUAUGGUCAGUUUCCUUUUUCAGUCCCCAGUUUCCAUUUAUCACACUAAUUAUUUCCUUAUAACUUACCUCUACUCUUUAUUCUCAGCUAUUAACCCUG